UGGGGAAUCUUGGACAAUGGGGGCAACCCUGAUCCAGCGAUGCCGCGUGAGCGAAGAAGGCCUUAGGGUUGUAAAGCUCUUUCGCCCGCGACGAUGAUGACGGUAGCGGGAGAAGAAGCCCCGGCUAACUCCGUGCCAGCAGCCGCGGUAAUACGAAGGGUGCAAGCGUUACUCGGAAUUACUGGGCGUAAAGCGUGCGUAGGUGGUUGUUUAAGUCUGAUGUGAAAGCCCUGGGCUCAACCUGGGAAUGGCAUUGGAAACUGGGCAGCUAGAGUGCGGUAGAGGGUAGUGGAAUUCCCGGUGUAGCAGUGAAAUGCGUAGAGAUCGGGAGGAACAUCUGUGGCGAAGGCGACUGCCUGGACCAGCACUGACACUGAGGCACGAAAGCGUGGGGAGCAAACA
rnacentral:rRNA from 1 species